GACGAACGCUGGCGGCGUGCCUAAUACAUGCAAGUUGAGCGAUGAAGAUUGGUGCUUGCACCAAUUUGAAGAGCAGCGAACGGGUGAGUAACGCGUGGGGAAUCUGCCUUUGAGCGGGGGACAGCAUUUGGAAACGAAUGCUAAUACCGCAUAACAACUUUAAACAUAAGUUUUAAGUUUGAAAGAUGCAAUUGCAUCACUCAAAGAUGAUCCCGCGUUGUAUUAGCUAGUUGGUGAGGUAAAGGCUCACCAAGGCGAUGAUACAUAACCGACCUGAGAGGGUGAUCGGCCACAUUGGGACUGAGACACGGCCCAAACUCCUACGGGAGGCAGCAGUAGGGAAUCUUCGGCAAUGGACGAAAGUCUGACCGAGCAACGCCGCGUGAGUGAAGAAGGUUUUCGGAUCGUAAAACUCUGUUGGUAGAGAAGAACGUUGGUGAGAGUGGAAAGCUCAUCAAGUGACGGUAACUACCCAGAAAGGGACGGCUAACUACGUG
rnacentral:rRNA from 1 species